GUGGGAUUAUGCACAGGAGCAUUGUGGGAAGGAAGGAGGGAGAUGAAGUCUAAAGCUUUCAUUCUGAGAUCAGAGACUUUGUUCAUCAUGUGAAAUUUACCUGAAACUCAAUAUUAUGUAGCUGCUUGAUGUCUGUAUUGAAUGUAGUUGAUGUGAUAAGAGUAUAAAAUCAGUCACUACCAGCAGAGAAAGAAGAAAACAUAGUAUUUACUUACCCCCAUUGCUGUGAAAUAAAACAGAAACACAAAGUUAAUAUUUUUACUAUUAUAAUACUUCAGUCUUUUUAACUCUUUAUCUCCUUAUUAUAAUCUCCUUUUCUCAUCUGUACUGUAGUUUUUCAUUGUUCACUA